AAGAUGUAAAAAACAUAUGCUUUGCUGAAACGCUUCAGGGAGUUUGGGGGGGUUUUUGGGCAUGAACCAAUCAUAUCUCCUUGCAUGGCCCUGCAAUAAACCUUUCUCUGCUCCA